rnacentral:rRNA from 1 species
GACAGAGGGUGCAAACGUUGCUCGGAAUCACUGGGCGUAAAGGGCGUGUAGGCGGGAAGAUAAGUCGGGCGUGAAAUCCCUGGGCUCAACCCAGGAACUGCACUCGAAACUGUUUUUCUUGAGUAUCGGAGAGGAAAGCGGAAUUCCUGGUGUAGAGGUGAAAUUCGUAGAUAUCAGGAGGAACACCAGCGGCGAAGGCGGCUUUCUGGACGAUAACUGACGCUGAGACGCGAAAGCGUGGGGAGCAAACAGG